AAAGGUUCUGAUUGUAAACCUUUG
rnacentral:siRNA from 1 species